GAUCUUUGUGCGACGAUACGUAUGAGUCACGGUCUCUCUAGGUCACGUCGUUCUUAGAAUCAAUGUGAUCUAUAUCGAUAAAUAAACAAAUAGUAUCCCAAUUCCUUUGUAGUCGUAAGAGAGAGGAGAAGGUCGUGGCUUCAGUUCGUCUUAAACUCUCGUUUGGUUAAUACGUAUAUAUAAUUUACUCCCGAGUAAUAUAGAAUUAAUCGUUUAAUUCGACGCAACAGAGUAUCCUCAAAGGAGCAACGUGCAACAACCAACGUCUCUCUUUCUCUUUCUCUUUCUUUCUCUCUUUUUUUUUUCUCUGUCUAUCUAUCUCUUUCUCUUUUACCGUAAUGGAGAUUGGAACGAAAAUCCUGUCACGCGUCUAACGAGAUACACCCUUCUUUUAUCACGUUGUCGCAUACUUUAUUAUUUUUCGUUAUUAAUAUUUCUCUUUCGGACUUUUAGGACCGACGAUCUCUUUCGGUAUUAAAUCGUAUGUUUACCCUCUCUGCGAAUGUUCGUCUAUAGAUAUAUCGUUUCUUUUGUCUAUUGAUUAAUAACGAUAGCGUAGAAUUCUUAAGUCGUCUUGUUUGUAAUCCAUUUUAUAUAGAAUUUUAUAAUAAUUACGUAUACUCGCAAAAAUUCAUUUACGACAACAUAUCUAUAUGAUAUAAUAAAACUUUAGAUAGAACUUUAGUUGAAUUUAAUCGAAUAAAAAUUAAGAAAUAGAUAUACGUAUCGUACGAAGAAGAAUAGAAGCGUAGCAGCGACAAUAACCAUAACAACAACGACAACAACAACAACAUCGAAGACGACGACAUUGAUUGGUAAUAACAUCGAAAGAAGAAGAAAUGAAAAAUAAGAAGAGAAAACUAGACAUAGAUAUAUCGUAAGUUGAAAUAUUACGAGGGUCGGCCUCUCGAUCGAUCGAUCGAUCAUAUCCGCCAUUACUCGAGAUAUCAACGUAACCAGAACGGAGUGUCAAAUCGCCCGAACGCACGUUCGUACACGUCCAGGAAAGUUUAAUUAAUCGAUUAAUCGAAAAGUUUGUCAAUGAGAGAGAGAAAGAGAGAGAGAGACACGUAACUCGUUUCGUUACUCGUACAUUUUUUUUCUAUAACAAUACUUGAUACUUGGAAUAAUAAUUAUAUAACAUAUCAUAUGAGAGAUAAUAUUAAUACAUAAAUAAUACAAAACUCUU